ensembl:lncRNA
CUGAGAGGGGCGGUUCAGCUCAUUUACUUCCUCACCUGACGUUUCGUCGCAGUGAGGAGCCUUUCUUUCUCCGCUUUGAAAACCUUUCACCUGAUUAACUUGUUUUAUCAACACUUUAACCUCAGUUUCUUCCCUUAUAUUUAUACUUUCAUAACUUUUUGCCGUAUGGGACGGAACGUAUUUUCUCCAGUCUACUAUGGAUGAGGAGAUAGAGGAGGGGGGUCCUACCUCUAAGACCGCCCUGUCUGGGGAACAUGGCCGCCGGAGAAAAGCUAAAAGCCCAGAGCAGCAGCAGAGAGCAGACUCCCUGGACCCAGCUGUGUCUCCAUGAAGAGUGACUGGUCUAUGGAUCUUCCUUACCAGUUUAAAGAUGGAAAUCACCAACCUUCUAAGGAAAGACACCAGGAGAGGUCAAAGGUCACCAGUGCUCAGUCUGUACAGCAGCAUCAAACAGAGCUGGAGAUGAACCAGGAGGAACUGGCUGACACACUGGGGGCGGUAAGGGACUAUUACUUUGAAGACAGAGGGGAAUAUAAUUUUA